rnacentral:rRNA from 1 species
UACAGAGGUGGCAAGCGUUGUUCGGAAUUACUGGGCGUAAAGGGCGCGUAGGCGGCCUCGCAAGUCCCGUGUGAAAUCCCUCGGCUCAACUGAGGAAUGGCACGGGAAACUGCGGGGCUUGAGUUCGGGAGAGGGAAGCGGAAUUCCGGGUGUAGCGGUGAAAUGCGUAGAUAUCAGGAAGAACACCCGUGGCGAAGGCGGUUCUCUGGGACGGUACUGACGCUGAGACGCGAAAGCGUGGGGAGCGAACAGG